UACGUAGGGGGCAAGCGUUGUCCGGAAUCAUUGGGCGUAAAGCGCGUGUAGGCGGCCAGAUAAGUCCGCUGUGAAAUCUCGAGGCUCAACUUCGAGCUGUCGGUGGAAACUAUCUGGCUAGAGUCCGGAAGAGGAGAGUGGAAUUCCUGGUGUAGCGGUGAAAUGCGCAGAUAUCAGGAAGAACACCCGUGGCGAAGGCGGCUCUCUGGGACGGUACUGACGCUGAGACGCGAAAGCGUGGGGAGCGAACCGG
rnacentral:rRNA from 1 species